UCCAGAAAAACGAAUAUCCCAUAUCCAACGUUAAGAAAAACACAAAUGUUGCGAGGUCCCAGACGCCGUUGAUUUUGCCGCGAAAACACGCCAUGCUGGCGUCAUCAUCUCUCCUCUCUCCACUCUCUCCCAAAUCUCUCCAGCCCCACCUCCACUUGAAACCCACCACCAUCCUCCCAACCCCCCCAAGACUCAAACCCCCAAAACUCCUCAACUCACUACGCACUCUUUGUUCAAACUCACCUCCCCCGGAGGCCUUGUCAGCGGCUCCUGAUUUUUCGCAAGAUUUCGAUGUCGAAUUGGGCCGCUUGCUGUCGCUACUGCCUGAGGAGAUGCGGUGUAAGAUAAGCCAGCACGUGGAGUAUCAGCACUUGAUUGAGGUUGUUAUGGAUUUGGGGAGGAAGCCUUUGGCGAGAUUUCCGUCCGGGGAUUUCGUGUUGUCGGAAUAUCCUGUUGCGAUUCAGGAUAUUCGGCACGCUACUUCGUUGGUUGGUGACUUUGCCAUCGAUAAUCGAGCAGGAAUUAGCAGAACUUUACACCGUAUUAGUGCCAUUAGAAAUCGGAAGGGUGAAAUAAUAGGUUUGACUUGUCGUGUUGGUCGAGCAAUAUCUGGAAGUGCCAAUCGGUUGACGGAUUUGGUUAGAGAUGGGGCUUCAUUAUUGCUUAUCGGACCUCCUGGAGUAGGAAAAACAACAAUUAUUAGGGACAUAGCAAGGAUGCUUGCAAAUGAUUAUAAUAAACGUGUCAUGAUUGUUGACACUUCAAAUGAAAUUGGCGGGGAUGGUGACAUACCUCAUGCAGGUAUUGGUAAUGCUCGUCGAAUGCAAGUUCCUAACACCGAUGUGCAACAUAAGGUCUUGAUAGAAGCAGUGGAAAAUCAUAUGCCCCAAGUGAUCGUAAUUGAUGAAAUUGGCACAAAACUUGAAGCAGCGGCAGCAAGCACAAUUGCACAACGAGGGAUCCAGUUAGUUGCAACUGCCCAUGGAGUAACCAUAGAGAACUUAGUGAUGAAUCCUUCAUUGGAGAUGCUUGUUGGAGGAAUACAUAGCGUGACACUAGGUGAUGAGGAGGCAAGCAGGAGGGGUGUUCAGAAGACGGUGCAGGAGAGGAAGGGACCAUCAACAUUCACAUGUGGUGUGGAGCUAAUUUCAAAGGGCGAGUUACGAGUUCAUCGCAGUCUAGAAGAAACAGUAGAUGCCAUUCUUUCUGGGCGUUUCCCAAAAUAUGAGGUUCGCACUAUAAAUCAGGCAAUGAGUAACGAGAUAUCGCUAGGACCAUUGCAUCAUGAUUUUGUAGACACAAAAGCUGGACUUGUUUCUGAAGAUAAUCUACAGAGUGGAGAAGAAAUUCUAACCUACAAUCAGUAUAAUGGCAUAGAAGAAAAUUCUCUUGAAGAUGGGCCAACAGUUCACUUGUUUCUUUAUGGGAUUGCGGAGGCUAGUGUGAUACAAGCAUUCAAACAGCUUAGGAUACAGCAUACAGUUAAAUUUACGGACAAUAUAAGCGAAGCAGAUGCACUACUUGCCCUGCAGGCCAAACUAAAAAAGAAUGCACGCCUUCAAGCAGCUGCAAAAUCUUGCGCUACGCCUAUUUAUGUUGCAAAGGCAAGCUCAAUGACACAGUUAACAAAGGCCAUACUGGCACUAAUGACUGAUUAUGAAGAUGGUUUUGAGAAUUUCGCACCUGAAGUUAAUGUGUUGGAGAAAAUGGAUGCAUUAGAGGAGGCAAGGAUGGCAAUUGAGCAACAUGUAAUUCCAAAAGGGGAGCCAGUGGAGCUACUUCCUAGGCCGUCCAACAUCAUGUUGCUACAAAAGGAUCUCAUUCGUAAAUACAAGCUACAGUCUGAGAGAGUUGGUGUGGAUCCAGAUGUAAGACUCCGUAUCCUUCCAUUUCAGGAUGGAGAUACGGAUAGUAGUGGGAGAGAAGAGUCAGAUGAUGAGGCUGAUGAGAUAUUCAGUCUCAAUGGCGAAUCAAAUGGCUCACCUUAUUCCAUAGAUAGACUGCCGCUCCUGCCUGAUUAGUUACUGUAGUUGCUGAACAGGGCUUGACAUUUGCCUCUACAUUGUCAUGGAAGUUCAGAAGUUGAAAGACCAGUUGUUUCGUCGCUGAAGUAGAAUAUGGUGUUUGUGGCCCUUCAGCGACUCGAACUUAUAGAAAUAUUCUAAAUGCUUGACAGAGAAAAGGCGGCCUGGCAUCUCAGCAAAGUGAAACAUGAUCGAAGAAUCCAAUUUUUCGUAGCGAAACACGAUCGAAGAAUCCAAAUUCCUUGUCACAACUCUAAAGGUGGAUGUGAUGUAAUCUGAGAAUACAGAGGAAGGAGUGAGGGUUUUAAUUUGAAAUCUAAUCAGAUUAAUAUUCCUCCAUUUUGAAAUAUAAGCCAUUUUAUUUUUUUGACACAUUUUUAAAUUCGUGUUAAAAAUAUUAUUUUUAAAA